AGAAACUUAGGUUAAUCCUAAACCCAGGGGCCUUCAAAGCCCCAAAUAAGAGCACCACACUCCUAGUUUCUG
rnacentral:tRNA from 1 species